rnacentral:rRNA from 1 species
ACGCACGCUGGCGGCGUGCUUAACACAUGCAAGUCGAACGGUGAAGCGCCUUCCUUUUUGGUGGGUGUGGAUGAGUGGCGAACGGGUGAGUAACACGUGAGUAACCUGCCCCCUUCUUCUGGAUAACCGCAUGAAAGUGUGGCUAAUACGGGAUAUUCUGGGUCUGUCGCAUGAUGGGUCUGGGAAAGAUAUUGUUUCGGUGGGGGAUGGGCUCGCGGCCUAUCAGCUUGUUGGUGGGGUGAUGGCCUACCAAGGCGGUGACGGGUAGCCGGCCUGAGAGGGUGGACGGUCACACUGGGACUGAGACACGGCCCAGACUCCUACGGGAGGCAGCAGUGGGGAAUAUUGCACAAUGGGCGCAAGCCUGAUGCAGCGACGCCGCGUGAGGGAUGGAGGCCUGCGGGUUGUGAACCUCUUUCGCCAGUGAAGCAGGCCUGCCUCGUUUGUGGGUGGGUUGACGGUAGCUGGAUAAGAAGCGCCGGCUAACUACGUG